UACGAAGGGGGCUAGCGUUGUUCGGAAUUACUGGGCGUAAAGCGCACGUAGGCGGACUAUUAAGUCAGGGGUGAAAUCCCGGGGCUCAACCCCGGAACUGCCUUUGAUACUGGUAGUCUUGAGUCCGGAAGAGGUGAGUGGAAUUCCGAGUGUAGAGGUGAAAUUCGUAGAUAUUCGGAGGAACACCCAUGGCGAAGGCAGCAAACUGGGCAUUAACUGACGCUGAGGCGCGAAAGCGUGGGUAGCAAACAGG
rnacentral:rRNA from 1 species